UACGUAGGGUGCAAGCGUUAUCCGGAAUUAUUGGGCGUAAAGAGCUCGUAGGCGGUUUUGUCGCGUCUGCUGUGAAAACUGGGGGCUCAACCCCCAGCCUGCAGUGGGUACGGGCAGACUAGAGUGCGGUAGGGGAGAUUGGAAUUCCUGGUGUAGCGGUGGAAUGCGCAGAUAUCAGGAGGAACACCGAUGGCGAAGGCAGAUCUCUGGGCCGAUACUGACGCUGGAGGAGCGAAAGCGUGGGGAGCGAACAGG
rnacentral:rRNA from 1 species